UGAUACAGUCCAUUGUUAAUACAUGUUCAUGUUUAGUACAAACACCAGAAAAAUUUUAAGAAAUAAAUACAGUUAUAAUAGGGAAUUGAAACAAAAAAGUACUAUCUUCUCAUUAUCAACCAUAAUCUCGAAUACACAUAAGCAUUAUUUCUCAGCUUUUGAGUAAAGAAGGAUACCUGGAAUUCAGCAAAAUAGAGCCUAUAAGUAAGGUUAAGAGAGUAGCAAGCCAAAAACAGCAGCCAAUUAGCUAAUAAAACCCAGAAAAUAACUCAUAAAGUUUGAGAGGGUAAAUAAUAACACUAAAUCU
rnacentral:lncRNA from 1 species